AAUAGAUACCCAGGUAGUCCACGCCGUAAACGAUGGAUACUAGCUGUUUGAGCGCAAGUUUGAGUGGCUAAGCGAAAGUGAUAAGUAUCCCACCUGGGGAGUACGGGCGCAAGCCUGAAACUCAAAGGAAUUGACGGGGGCCCGCACAAGCGGUGGAGCAUGUGGUUUAAUUCGAUGAUACGCGAGGAACCUUACCAGGGCUUAAAUGUAGAUUGACGUAUUUGGAAACAGAUAUUUCUUCGGACAAUUUACAAGGUGCUGCAUGGUUGUCGUCAGCUCGUGCCGUGAGGUGUCAGGUUAAGUCCUAUAACGAGCGCAACCCCUGUUGUUAGUUGCCAGCGAGUAAUGUCGGGAACUCUAGCAAGACUGCCAGUGUAAACUGUGAGGAAGGUGGGGAUGACGUCAAAUCAUCACGGCCCUUAGUCCUGGGCCACACACGUGCUACAAUGGCCGGUACAGAGAGCAGCCACUUAGCGAUAAGGAGCGAAUCUAUAAAGCCGGUCACAGUUCGGAUCGGAGU
rnacentral:rRNA from 1 species